UCCAAAAGCAAAGGGUGUUGGGAUGCUGUCAGGAGUCUUAUGGCCUGGCACCCCCCCUCCCUUUUUAACUCCUAAGAGUCUUACUGCUCAUGUGUAAUUGGGGAGCUCUCCUUGAACCCAAGAGUGAUUGAAAUGGUCAUCUUAUCUUUCUAUUCCACCAGAGCUCAGCUUUUACCAGAGCUCAGCUUUUAACUUUUUCCUUGACCUGUCAAAGAGAAACAAGGCCUGAUUUAUUUGGCCUAACAACUGUUCUCAGCCCAGGGGCCCAUCUACCUCCUACCUCACCCUGACUCCUCAGCAGCUGCCAGAGCCCAUUUUGCUCCAGGGAUCUUGGGGGGACUGUCCCUGGCAAGCACCAGCUGCCCAGGGCUUGAGGCUGUUUGGAACUGAGAAAUGUCCAGAGCUGCAGUCUGCACUCAAUGUCGUUUGGUGGAUCCAGGCUGCUCCAGAGGGCUCCAUCUGGGAAUGGAAGCGGAAUUUCUGGGCUACUCCUCCUCUGAGGCUUUGUUGUUUGUGUGUGCACUGUAGUACUUGCAUUGAAACUCCUGGCUCCUCCUUACUGCUUUGGAGCAGUCCCUCAGAGCUAAAUGAGAGGCUAUCUUCAGGGCUUAAGUCCUCAGCAAGUUCAUCAAAUAAAACAUAAUUCUCAACUUUAAUGUUGUGCAAUUUUUUUCUUAGUUGUCAAGUCAAUCAGAAAUUUCCUGAUAAAAGCACCUAAUAGACUGUUCACCUCCCCUAAAAGAAAGUAAUCUUGAAAUAACCAACUUGCCUUUUUGCCUGGUAUUACUUCCUUGUUCCUUCUGCCUAUAAAAAUCUUGAAUUCUGUACAACUCCUCAGGGCUCCUUUCUAUCUGCUAGUCUGGAUGCUGCCAAUUCAUGAAUCAUUAAAUAAAUCCAA